AUCUUUUAUUUCUUUUAAUUACAAUUGUUUUUUUUUUUUUUUAAUCAGAGAACGGGGAGGGAAAAGAAAAACACGCGUUGGAUUAUUUACGCCACGCACACGUUUAACAAACACGAGGUGACUUUUAACCAUAUGCUCGUAACUUGCUAAGUUAGAGUAUACUUUGAACUGCCGGGGGAACGGAUGAUGGACACGCGAGAAUACAGUCUCGAGAAUAAAGUCUUACCAACCAAACAACGAUAUAACUACUAUGAAUUGCAAAAAAAAAAAAAGAGAGAGAGAGAAAAAAA